rnacentral:misc_RNA from 1 species
GUGAUAUUUGAUGACACGUUGUAGAGAAGUAUAGCUUGUUAAGAUUGCGAAUACAAGGCUUAAAAGAAGCAAGUUUCAACUUAAAAAUAUGAGUCUUAGAGGUCAGUUGGCAUCUACGAACCUUUUGGAUGGGCCAGUUUAGAUUCCAAUUCUAAGCAUGAUAUUCAGUGUAAUGUACUAAAGUCUUUAUGCUUUGAAAAAGCACUUCAUCUUACAUGAACAAGUUUACAUUAUCAUUUGAUUAAUGGUGGUAUCAGUCUAAGUUGGUGUCUAUGGUAUAUUAAAAGAAGACCAUAUCCAAUACAAAACUAAAGAAAUUUGCAUAAGAACAAAGGUUUUCAGUGCUUUCUGUUGUCAUAAUGUACGUCACGAACAUGGUACUUUAAAGUAUUAUAGUGAAAAAAUUUGUCCAUUUUGAAAGUGAUAGUAUCACUAUCAUUAAUGAGUCAACUAUAGAUCACAGAGACAAGCGAUGCAUCCAAUUUAGUGGAAAACACUUUUGGAAGGAGAGAAUAUUUGACAAGUUUAUCAUCUAAUAAAUUAAACAGAAAAAUUAAUUGCUAGUUUUAGUUCUUCUUAUUGGAUGUAAAUCCUAAACUCAUAAUUGUUAGACUAAAAGGAUAAGGAACAAAAAUUCUUUAUACUAUUGUCUCCACAAAGGUUGAAAUGCAUUGAGGGUGGCCUUCUUCCUUGUAUGUAAUUUGACCAAAUAACUUCUGUUAGAUUAAAAAAAAAAGUCAAAAAAAAUACACUUGGAUCGAUGU